GAUGAACGCUGGCGGCGUGUCUAAUACAUGCAAGUCGAGCGAAGCGGGGACGGGUGAGUAACACGUGGAUAACCUCCUAUAAGACGGGGAUUACUUCGGGAAACCGGAGCUAUAGCGGAACCUUAUAGAUGUAUCCGCGCUGCAUUAGCUUGUUGGUAAGGUAACGGCGUACCAAGGCAACGAUGCAUAGCCGACCUGAGAGGGUGAUCGGACACACUGCAACUGAGACACGGUCCAGACGCCUACGGGAGGCAGCAGUAGGGAAUCUUCCGCAAUGGGCGAAAGCCUGACGGAGCAACGCCGCGUGAGUGAUGAAGGUCUUCGGAUCGUAAAACUCUGUUAUUAGGGAAGCGGUACCUAAUCAGAAAGCCACGGCUAACUACGUGCCAGCCGCCGCGGUAAUAC
rnacentral:rRNA from 1 species